CUUAAGAUGGCGGCUACGUGGAAACAGCUGAUCGGUUCUGUGGGCCGCUCUUGGUGUAUUUUUGUCCGUAACGCUGCCUGAUGAGAUGAAAUCUCGGCGUACGAGGUACUUUCGCCCGAGAAGAAUUCUGGAAGCUGUGAACAUCAUGAAGACUGUGAAAGCGUAGUGCUCGGAUACGGAAGAAUCGAUGAAGGUUGGAAGGCAUCUCAACAGAUAGCUGUGGUACAUUCCCCCGUGCGGGCGGUACAGAUACUCCGCCAACAGCCGCUGGAGGAUGCGGCCUGCAGGGCAACCGCCAAGUAUGCGCGGCAGGGGCAGCUGGCUGAAGCAGCGAACGCGGAGGCCGCCAGUUUCCACCAGCUGCUGCUGCAGCAAAAUAGGCAGGUACGUACAACUUGGCCAGGUCAUUUUUUAAAGAGGUGAUUAGUGCGCAUGAUAAUGUACAUUACAACCAUAUUACACAUCAGAGGCAUCUGUAGUC